GAGUUUGAUCGUGGCUCAGAACGAACGCUGGCGGCAUGCCUAACACAUGCAAGUCGAACGAACUCUUCGGAGUUAGUGGCGCACGGGUGCGUAACGCGUGGGAAUCUGCCCUUGGGUACGGAAUAACUCAGAGAAAUUUGUGCUAAUACCGUAUAAUGACUUCGGUCCAAAGAUUUAUCGCCCAAGGAUGAGCCCGCGUAAGAUUAGCUAGUUGGUGGGGUAAAGGCCUACCAAGGCUACGAUCUUUAGCUGGUCUGAGAGGAUGAUCAGCCACACUGGGACUGAGACACGGCCCAGACUCCUACGGGAGGCAGCAGUGGGGAAUAUUGGACAAUGGGCGAAAGCCUGAUCCAGCAAUGCCGCGUGAGUGAUGAAGGCCUUAGGGUGUAAAGCUCUUUUACCCGGGAUGAUAAUGACAGUACCGGGAGAAUAAGCUCCGGCUAACUCCGUGCCAGCCGCCGCCGUAA
rnacentral:rRNA from 1 species